AUCUAUCUGGAUCAGCUUCAGGAGGUGCUCUCUUAACGUGCGACGCGUGGACCCAGGUGGGAAUUCCUUCAACUUUGACCGCGGUGGGCGUCGUCAGCAGUACCAGAUAUGGUCCUUUCCACCUCUGCUCUAAGUUUCCUGUUCGGUGUCUCCUCACCAGGACGACUUCUCCCACUUCAAACUGCUCUAGGACCUGGAUCAAUGCGAUGAGCUCCGCUCUUUGGGCCGAUGUGCCCUCAGGCAGACUGAUGGCCCAUAUGACGGCCUUUCCAUCCACCACCGCUUCCCCGGCCCUCCUCUUACCUUCCACCAUGAAGCUGCUUCCGUCAGUGUACCAAGUCAUUGCCCCUGGCCAUGGUUGGUCUGUGAGGUCUGACCGGACUCCGGUUUCUUCUGCCAACACUUACUCACAUUUGUAUAUAGGGGCUUCAUCAGCCUCAGGCAUCUGCAGAACAGAAAACUCAGCACCCAUGUCAACCAGGAAAUGUAUGGGAGUCCCCUUCAUGUCUAAAGUUACCCUGGGCUCGGGGAGGGGGGCCGAGCCCCAUCUCCCCUAGUCUUCGUCAUCUCCCAGGGACAAUACUUUCACCUGCUUCUUCUUGGGACAUUCAAAUGCCCAAUGGCCAGUACCUUUGCAGAUCCUACACUGAUUUCGUCCCAGGCUCAGUCGAUC
ensembl:lncRNA